rnacentral:rRNA from 1 species
UACGUAGGGUGCAAGCGUUGUCCGGAAUUAUUGGGCGUAAAGGGCUCGUAGGCGGUCUGUCACGUCGGGAGUGAAAACUCAGGGCUUAACCCUGAGCCUGCUUCCGAUACGGGCAGACUAGAGGUAUGCAGGGGAGAACGGAAUUCCUGGUGUAGCGGUGAAGUGCGCAGAUAUCAGGAGGAACACCGGUGGCGAAGGCGGUUCUCUGGGCAUUACCUGACGCUGAGGAGCGAAAGUGUGGGGAGCGAACAGG